rnacentral:tRNA from 1 species
GGGGGUUUAGCACAGUGGUAGAGCACAUGCCUGGCGUGCACAAGGGCCUGGGUUCAAUCCCCAGUGCCUCCA